UACGUAGGGUGCAGGCGUUAAUCGGAAUUACUGGGCGUAAAGCGUGCGCAGGCGGUUUCUUAAGUCAGAUGUGAAAGCCCCGGGCUUAACCUGGGAACUGCGUUUGAAACUGGGAGACUCGAGUGUAGCAGAGGGGGGUGGAAUUCCACGUGUAGCAGUGAAAUGCGUAGAGAUGCGGAGGAACACCGAUGGCGAAGGCAGCCCCCUGGGCCAAUACUGACGCUCAGGCACGAAAGCGUGGGGAGCAAACAGG
rnacentral:rRNA from 1 species